UACGGAGGAUGCGAGCGUUAUCCGGAUUUAUUGGGUUUAAAGGGUGCGUAGGCGGAUCGUUAAGUCAGUGGUCAAAUUGAGGGGCUCAACCCCUUCCCGCCAUUGAAACUGGCGAUCUUGAGUGGAAGAGAAGUAUGCGGAAUGCGUGGUGUAGCGGCGAAAUGCAUAGAUAUCACGCAGAACCCCGAUUGCGAAGGCAGCAUGCCGGCUUCCGACUGACGCUGAAGCACGAAAGCGUGGGGAUCGAACAGG
rnacentral:rRNA from 1 species